UUAGCUACAACAUUAUGUUUGUAAAUGUAUUUCAAGAUUGUACUUUUUUAAUUAUUGGUAAAUAAACAAGUUGUAAAAAGUUGUUUUAGAUGUUUGCUGGAAUUUGCCAAUGGCCACUUU